GAUGAAGAACGUAGCGAAACGCGAAAGGUAAUGCGAAUUGCAGAAUCAGUGAGUCAUCGAAUCUUUGAACGCACAUUGCGCCCCUUGGUAUCCCGAGGGGCAUGCCUGUUCGAGCGUCAUUUCACCACUCAAGCCUGGCUUGGUGUUGGGCGACGUCCUCUUUGGGGACGCGCCUCGAAACGCUCGGCGGCGUGGCACCGGCUUUAAGCGUAGCAGAAUCUUUCGCUUUGGAAGUCGGGGCCCCGUCUGCCGGAAGACCUGCUCGCAAGGUUGACCUCGGAUCAGGCAGGGAUACCCGCUGAACUUAAGCAUAUCAAUAAGCGGAGGA
rnacentral:misc_RNA from 1 species